AGAGUUUGAUCAUGGCUCAGAUUGAACGCUGUCGACAUGCUUUACACAUGCAAGUCGUACGGGUAUAACUUGUUAUACCAGUGGCAAACGGGUGAGUAAUACGUAGAAAUGUACCCAAUAGUCUUGAAUAACAAUUGGAAACGAUUGAUAAUACAAGAUAUUAUGGUAACAUAAAAGGUUUAGUAAUAAACUGCUAUUGGAGCAGUCUACGGUGGAUUAGAUUGUUGGUGAGGUAAUGGCUCACCAAGUCGAAGAUCUAUAGCUGGUCUGAGAGGAUGAACAGCCACAUUGGGACUGAGAUACGGCCCAGACUUCUACGGAAGGCAGCAGUGGGGAAUAUUGGACAAUGGGGGAAACCCUGAUCCAGCAAUGUCGAGUGAAUGAUGAAGGCCCUAGGGUUGUAAAGUUCUUUUAUAAGCAAUUAUGAUGAAAGUAGCUUAUGAAUAAGCUCCGGCUAACUUCGUGCCAGCAGCCGCGGUAAUACGAAGGGAGCUAGCGUUGUUCGGAAUCACUGGGCGUAAAGGGCGUGUAGGCUGUUUUACAAGUUAAGGAAUAAAACCCUGAGCUCAACUUAGGUCUCUUCCUUAAUACUGUUUUACUAGAGUCUCUAAGAGGAUGAUGGAAUUAUGCAUGUAGAGGUGGAAUUCAUAGAUAUGCAUAAGAACUCCAGAUGCGAAGGCGAUCAUCUGGUAGAGAACUGACGCUGAGGCGCGAAGGCGUGGGGAGCAAACAGGAUUAGAUACCCUGGUAGUCCACGCAGUAAACGAUGAAUGCUAGAUGUCGGACACUUUGGUUUUAGUUCGGCGUUGUAGUUAACACGUUAAGCAUUCCGCCUGGGGAAUACGGUCGCAAGAUUAAAACUCAAAGGAAUUGACGGGGACCCGCACAAGCGGUGGAUUAUGUGGUUUAAUUCGAAGCUACGCGCAGAACCUUACCAGCUUUUGACAUGGUACUUAAGCUUGCAGAAAUGUGAGUGUCCGUAAGGAAAGUACGCACAGGUGCUGCAUGGCUGUCGUCAGCUCGUGUCGUGAGAUGUUGGGUUAAGUCCCUAAACGAGCGCAACCCUCGCUUUUAUUUGCCAUCAGGUAUCGCUGGGCACUAUAUUUGGACUGCCUGUGUAAAGCAGGAGGAAGGUGGGGAUGACGUCAAGUCCUCAUGGCCCUUACAGGCUGGGCUACACACGUAAUACAAUGGCUGUCGCAAUGAGAGGCUUUUUUAAAGUAAAACUCCAAUUGCAGUCUCAGUUCGGAUUGUUUUCUGCAACUCGAAAGCAUGAAGUAGGAAUCGCUAGUAAUCGCGUAUCAGCACGUCGCGGUGAAUACGUUCUCGGGUCUUGUACACACUGCCCGUCAAACCAUGGAAGUUGGCUGUACCUUAAGUCGUCGUGUUAACCAGCAAUGGAGACAAACGCCCAAGGUAUUGUCAGUGACUGGGGUUAAGUCGUAACAAGGUAGCC
rnacentral:rRNA from 1 species